CGGACGGGUGAGUAAUGUCUGGGAAACUGCCUGAUGGAGGGGGAUAACUACUGGAACGGUAGCUAAUACCGCAUAAUGUCUGCGGACCAAAGCGGGGGACCUCCGGGCCUCGCGCCAUCAGAUGAACCCAUAUGGGAUUAGCUUGUAGGUAAGGUAACGGCUUACCUAGGCGACGAUCCCUAGCUGGUCUGAGAGGAUGACCAGCCACACUGGAACUGAGACACGGUCCAG
rnacentral:rRNA from 1 species